rnacentral:rRNA from 1 species
GAUGAACGCUGGCGGCGUGCCUAAUACAUGCAAGUCGAGCGAACGGACGAGAAGCUUGCUUCUCUGAUGUUAGCGGCGGACGGGUGAGUAACACGUGGAUAACCUACCUAUAAGACUGGGAUAACUUCGGGAAACCGGAGCUAAUACCGGAUAAUAUUUUGAACCGCAUGGUUCAAAAGUGAAAGACGGUCUUGCUGUCACUUAUAGAUGGAUCCGCGCUGCAUUAGCUAGUUGGUAAGGUAACGGCUUACCAAGGCAACGAUGCAUAGCCGACCUGAGAGGUUGUCCGGCAACACUGGACCUACGACACGGUCCAGCUUCCUAGGGGAGGCGGCGGUGGGAAGUCUGCCGAAAGGGGCGAACGCCGGACGAAGCAACGCGGCGUGGGGGAUGAAGGUCUUCGAAUCGAAAAUCUUUGUUAUGGGGAAAAAACAUAUGUGUAAGUACCUGUGCACAUCUGGACGGUACCAAAUAAAAAAGCCGCGGCUACCUACGC